AAGAGAACUAAAAAUUUAGCUGCUAACUAAAUAAAGAGCAAUAAGUGUUCAUCUCUUA
rnacentral:tRNA from 1 species